AGUAACACGUGGAUAACCUACCUAUAAGACUGGGAUAACUUCGGGAAACCGUAGCUAAUACCGGAUAAUAUUUUGAACCGCAUGGUUCAAAAGUGAAAGACGGUCUUGCUGUCACUUAUAGAUGGAUCCGCGCUGCAUUAGCUAGUUGGUAAGGUAACGGCUUACCAAGGCAACGAUGCAUAGCCUACCUGAGAGGGUGAUCGGCCACACUGGAACUGAGACACGGUCCAG
rnacentral:rRNA from 1 species